rnacentral:rRNA from 1 species
UACGUAGGUGACAAGCGUUAUCCGGAAUUACUGGGCGUAAAGCGCACGCAGGCGGCGCAUUAAGUCUGACGUGAAAUCUCCUGGCUUAGCUGGGAGGGGUCGUUGGAGACUGAUGUGCUUGAGGCGAUGAGAGGGGUGUAGAAUUCCCGGUGUAGUGGUGGAAUGCGUAGAUAUCGGGAGGAAUACCAGUGGCGAAAGCGACACCCUGGCAUUAGCCUGACGCUCAUGUGCGAAGGCGUGGGGAGCGAACGGG